UCUCAUGGCGGCCGUACGUGGGGCACACUCGUGUGCGCCAGGUUGCUCUCUACUGGUCUGUCAACCCGCGUACAGCUGCCACCCAU
rnacentral:antisense_RNA from 1 species